CAGUCGCCACGGUAAUACGUAGGGGGCAAGCGUUAUCCGGAUCUACUGGGUGUAAAGGGAGCGCAGGCGGUCUGGCAAGUUGAGAGUGGAAGCAGGGGGCUCAACCCCCUGACCGCUCCCAAAACUGUUGGACUGGAGUAUGGGAGAGGCAGGCGGAAUUCCUAGUGUAGCGGUGAAAUGCUCAGAUAUUAGGAAGAACACCGGUGGCGAAGGCGGCCUGCUGGACCAAAACUGACGCUGAGGCUCGAGAGCGUGGGGAGCGAACAGGAUUAGAUACCCCGGUAGUCCCUGUCUCUUAUAC
rnacentral:rRNA from 1 species